UGCUCUGCCCGCCUCGGCCUCUUGAGGUGCUGGGACUGCAGACGGAGGCUCGCUCAUUCGGUGCUCGGUGUUGCCGGGGCUGGAGUGCAGUGGUGUGGUCUUGGCUCGCUGCAGCCUCCGCCGCCCAGCCGCCUGCCUUGGCCUCCCAGGGUGCUGGGAUUGCAGCCUCUGCCCGGCCGCCGCCCCGUCUGGGAGGUGGGGAUCGUCUCUGCCUGGCUGCCCAUCGUCUGGGUUAUGAGGAGCUCCUCAGCCCGGCCGCCCCGUCUGGGAGGUGAGGAGCGCCUCUGCCCAGCCGCCACCCCGUCUAGGAAGUGAGGGAUGUCUCUGCCUGGCCGCCCCGUCUGGGAGGUGAGGAGCGCCUCUGCCCAGCCGCCACCCCGUCUAGGAAGUGAGGGACGUCUCUGCCUGGCCGCCCCGUCUGGGAUGUUAGGAGCGCCUCUGCCCGGCCGCCCCGUCUGCGAGGUGAGGAGCGACUCUGCCCGGCCGCCCCGUCUGGGAAGUUAGGAGCCCCUCUGUGCGGCCGCCCCGUCUGGGAAGUGAGGAGCACCUCUGCCCGGCCGCCCCGUCUGGGAGGUCUACCACAGAGGCCGGAAGCAAUGUGGGGGCUGGAUGUGGUAGCUCACGCCUGUAGUCUCAGUACUCUGGGAGGCUGAGGUGGGUUGAUCACUUGAGGCUAGGAGCUCGAGACCAGCCUGGCCAACAUGGCGAAACAUAUGAAAAAUACAACUGUCAAACCAACCAACGAACCAAGUGACAACAAAACAGGUGAAGCAAUAGAGCCAAAGGUCUAAUUUACAGGUGACUCUUGGUUUGAAAUCUAAUUGAUUCCUGGGGAGCCAUGACAAAUUGAACCACUGUAAGACAACUCUCAUUUUCUAUGAAGAAACUGUGGCCCAGAGAGGUGAAACAACCCAGCCGAUGUCACGUAGCUAAGAUGACAGCCAUUGGCCUGUAUCUCAGCCCUCAAGUUUCCCAUUCAAUGUGCUUCCUACUAUUCAUUGUUGCCCGGCCUCUAGGUAAGUCUUCUGUAAUUUACAUGCUUGUUGAAAGGAUCUGUUUCUGUUUUUUCCUCCUCCCAGUUUGUUGAAGCCCAUGGUGAACUGAGAAAUGGAAGUGGCGCC